rnacentral:rRNA from 1 species
GAUGAACGCUGGCGGCGUGCCUAAUACAUGCAAGUCGAGCGAACGGACGAGAAGCUUGCUUCUCUGAUGUUAGCGGCGGACGGGUGAGUAACACGUGGAUAACCUACCUAUAAGACUGGGAUAACUUCGGGAAACCGGAGCUAAUACCGGAUAAUAUUUUGAACCGCAUAGUUCAAAAGUGAAAGACGGUCUUGCUGUCACUUAUAGAUGGAUCCGCGCUGCAUUAGCUAGUUGGUAAGGUAACGGCUUACCAAGGCAACGAUGCAUAGCCGACCUGAGAGGGGGAUCGGCCACCCUGGAACUGAGACACGGUCCAGACGCCUACGGGAGGCAGCAGUAGGGAAUCUUCCGCAAUGGGCGAAAGCCUGACGGAGCAACGCCGCGUGAGUGAUGAAGGUCUUCGGAUCGUAAAACUCUGUUAUUAGGGAAGAACAUAUGUGUAAGUAACUGUGCACAUCUUGACGGUACCUAAUCAGAAAGCCACGGCUAACUACGUG